GAUGAACGCUGGCGGCGUGCCUAAUACAUGCAAGUCGAGCGAACAGACGAGGAGCUUGCUCCUCUGACGUUAGCGGCGGACGGGUGAGUAACACGUGGAUAACCUACCUAUAAGACUGGGAUAACUUCGGGAAACCGGAGCUAAUACCGGAUAAUAUAUUGAACCGCAUGGUUCAAUAGUGAAAGACGGUUUUGCUGUCACUUAUAGAUGGAUCCGCGCCGCAUUAGCUAGUUGGUAAGGUAACGGCUUACCAAGGCAACGAUGCGUAGCCGACCUGAGAGGGUGAUCGGCCACACUGGAACUGAGACACGGUCCAGACUCCUACGGGAGGCAGCAGUAGGGAAUCUUCCGCAAAGGGCGAAAGCCUGACGGAGCAACGCCGCGUGAGUGAUGAAGGUCUUCGGAUCGUAAAACUCUGUUAUUAGGGAAGAACAAAUGUGUAAGUAACUAUGCACGUCUUGACGGAACCUAAUCAGAAAGCCACGGCUAACUACGUG
rnacentral:rRNA from 1 species